rnacentral:rRNA from 1 species
UGGGGAAUCUUGCGCAAUGGCCGAGAGGCUGACGCAGCGACGCCGCGUGGGGGAUGAAGCAUUUCGGUGUGUAAACCCCUGUUGCUCGGGACGAACGACCCUUUUCGAGGGGUGUGACGGUACCGAGUGAGGAAGCACCGGCUAACUCCGUGCCAGCAGCCGCGGUAAUACGGAGGGUGCGAGCGUUGUCCGGAAUCACUGGGCGUAAAGGGCGCGUAGGUGGUUAGAUGCGCCGGUGGUGAAAGCGCAGGGCUCAACCCUGCGUCGGCCAUCGGGACGGUCUGACUUGAGCACUGUAGAGGCAGGUGGAAUUCCGGGUGUAGCGGUGGAAUGCGUAGAGAUCCGGAAGAACACCGGUGGCGAAGGCGGCCUGCUGGGCAGUAGCUGACACUGAGGCGCGACAGCGUGGGGAGCAAACAGG